UGUGUGUGUGUGUGUGUAAACAUGUUUAAGGCACACAGAUUUUAUCAUGCAGCCUACCACACAAAUGUCACAUGAUUUUCUCUCUGAAAGCUAUACUUGUAAAUGUUGAAAAGUCAUCAUCUCAUGACAUCCUUAGGAGUAGUUAACAAACAAAGGUUAACUGUUUUUAUAACCUGAGGCCUUCUCU